UACGUAGGGGGCAAACGUUGUCCGGAAUCAUUGGGCGUAAAGAGCGUGUAGGCGGCUCGGUAAGUCCGCUGUGAAAGUCCAGGGCUCAACCCUGGAAUGCCGGUGGAAACUGUCGGGCUAGAGUCCGGAAGAGGCGAGUGGAAUUCCUGGUGUAGCGGUGAAAUGCGCAGAUAUCAGGAGGAACACCAAUGGCGAAGGCAGCUCGCUGGGACGGUACUGACGCUGAGACGCGAAAGCGUGGGGAGCAAACAGG
rnacentral:rRNA from 1 species